rnacentral:rRNA from 1 species
AGAGUUUGAUCAUGGCUCAGAUUGAACGCUGGCGGCAGGCCUAACACAUGCAAGUCGAACGGUAACAGGAAGCAGCUUGCUGCUUUGCUGACGAGUGGCGGACGGGUGAGUAAUGUCUGGGAAACUGCCUGAUGGAGGGGGAUAACUACUGGAAACGGUGGCUAAUACCGCAUAACGUUGCAAGACCAAAGAGGGGGACCUUCGGGCCUCUUGCCAUCAGAUGUGCCCAGAUGGGAUUAGCUAGUUGGUGAGGUAACGGCUCACCAAGGCGACGAUCCCUAGCUGGUCUGAGAGGAUGACCAGCCACACUGGAACUGAGACACGGUCCAGACUCCUACGGGAGGCAGCAGUGGGGAAUAUUGCACAAUGGGCGCAAGCCUGAUGCAGCCAUGCCGCGUGUAUGAAGAAGGCCUUCGGGUUGUAAAGUACUUUCAGCGGGGAGGAAGGUGUUGUGGUUAAUAACCGCAGCAAUUGACGUUACCCGCAGAAGAAGCACCGGCUAACUCCGUGCCAGCAGCCGCGGUAAUACGGAGGGUGCAAGCGUUAAUCGGAAUUACUGGGCGUAAAGCGCACGCAGGCGGUCUGUCAAGUCGGAUGUGAAAUCCCCGGGCUCAACCUGGGAACUGCAUUCGAAACUGGCAGGCUUGAGUCUUGUAGAGGGGGGUAGAAUUCCAGGUGUAGCGGUGAAAUGCGUAGAGAUCUGGAGGAAUACCGGUGGCGAAGGCGGCCCCCUGGACAAAGACUGACGCUCAGGUGCGAAAGCGUGGGGAGCAAACAGGAUUAGAUACCCUGGUAGUCCACGCCGUAAACGAUGUCUACUUGGAGGUUGUGCCCUUGAGGCGUGGCUUCCGGAGCUAACGCGUUAAGUAGACCGCCUGGGGAGUACGGCCGCAAGGUUAAAACUCAAAUGAAUUGACGGGGGGCCCGCACAAGCGGUGGAGCAUGUGGUUUAAUUCGAUGCAACGCGAAGAACCUUACCUGGUCUUGACAUCCACAGAACUUUCCAGAGAUGGAUUGGUGCCUUCGGGAACUGUGAGACAGGUGCUGCAUGGCUGUCGUCAGCUCGUGUUGUGAAAUGUUGGGUUAAGUCCCGCAACGAGCGCAACCCUUAUCCUUUGUUGCCAGCGGUCCGGCCGGGAACUCAAAGGAGACUGCCAGUGAUAAACUGGAGGAAGGUGGGGAUGACGUCAAGUCAUCAUGGCCCUUACGACCAGGGCUACACACGUGCUACAAUGGCGCAUACAAAGAGAAGCGACCUCGCGAGAGCAAGCGGACCUCAUAAAGUGCGUCGUAGUCCGGAUUGGAGUCUGCAACUCGACUCCAUGAAGUCGGAAUCGCUAGUAAUCGUGGAUCAGAAUGCCACGGUGAAUACGUUCCCGGGCCUUGUACACACCGCCCGUCACACCAUGGGAGUGGGUUGCAAAAGAAGUAGGUAGCUUAACCUUCGGGAGGGCGCUUACCACUUUGUGAUUCAUGACUGGGGUGAAGUCGUAACAAGGUAACCGUAGGGGAACCUGCGGUUGGAUCACCU